GCCUGUUAUAUCACUGUAUUGGGAGUGGUAAGUGCAGGGGCACCUGUUAAUGGGCUGGUAAUGCGGCCAGGGCGAAGCUAGCGCUAUUGGCAACAGGGAGGACCAGACCAGUUGCACCUCAUUAAGGUUGCCCUAGACCGUACUAGGGUCAGCUGGUUUGCCAUGGCUCCCCCCGGCGGAAGGCUAUUUCCAGGAAAAAUAUGGGGACCCAGACUGAGGUCCCAUGCACAGAUAAAAGGAUGGCCGCUGCCAAGAAAAAUGAGGAGACCCUGGUGGAGGUCCCACAGCAACAUGUUAGUACUCAGGUUUUUGUCUGCAGUGAGUGCUUGAGCUUGGCCCUUGCAAUGCAGGGCGAUGCAGAAAGCAUGUGUGUCAGAUGCGACCAGCCAAAUGAUUUACUUAGGCUGGUGGCUGAUCUGAAGGAAGAAGUGGAGAGGCUGAGGAGUAUUAGGGAGAGUGAGCGGGAGAUUGAUCAGUGGUGCCAGUCCCUACCGUCCCUGAGAUCGAGGCAGCCAGCUGCAGCCCUGCACGAAGCAUGUCACCCCCUACCGCCUUGCAAACAGGUAACAGGAGGGAACCAGCAAGCAGACAGUGCUCCUGCUGCAGGGAUCCCCCUGUCCUCUCCCCCACCUAACAACAGUGAUGAACUGGGGGGCAGGGGGCAAUGGCAAAAGGUCCCUGCUCAACGGUGCAGGCACACCCACCCAGUGAUUCCCCUCCCUCCUCAGCUGCCCCUGCAGAACAGGUACAGUGCUCUGCGGAAACAGCUGGACACUGGUGGAGAUGAUGCUUCUCCCCACUUGGAGGUGUCCCCAGAGCUCAGCAGGACUACCCCUAACAUUAAAACAUCCUCAGCAAAGAACAAAAGGCGGGUCAUUGUUGUUGGUGACUCGGUGCUGAAGGGAGCGGAAGGCCCAAUAUGUAGACCUGACCCUCUACACAGGGAAGUCUGCUGCCUCCCGGGAGCCUGGGUUAAAGAUGUAAGGAAGAAACUUCCGUCCGUAGUACAGCCCUCGGAUUAUUAUCCUCUGUUGUUGUUUCAGGUAGGCAGUGAUGAAAUAGGAAGAACCUCCCUUAGAACCAUGAAAAAGGACUUCAGAGCCUUAGGGCGUCUGGUCAAGGGUUUGGGAGCACAAGUUGUGUUCUCC
rnacentral:lncRNA from 1 species